UACUCCUACGGGAGGCAGCAGUGGGGAAUAUUGCACAAUGGGCGAAAGCCUGAUGCAGCGACGCCGCGUGAGGGAUGACGGCCUUCGGGUUGUAAACCUCUUUCAGCAGGGACGAAGCGCAAGUGACGGUACCUGCAGAAGAAGCACCGGCUAACUACGUGCCAGCAGCCGCGGUAAA
rnacentral:rRNA from 1 species